rnacentral:rRNA from 1 species
AUUGAACGCUGGCGGCAUGCUUUACACAUGCAAGUCGAACGGUAACAGGCCUUCGGGUGCUGACGAGUGGUGAACGGGUGAGUAAUGCAUCGGAACGUGCCCAGAGGUGGGGGAUAACGCAGCGAAAGCUGUGCUAAUACCGCAUGUGAUCUGAGGAUGAAAGCGGGGGACCAAGCAGCAAUGUUUGGCCUCGCGCCUCUGGAGCGGCCGAUGUCAGAUUAGGUAGUUGGUGGGGUAAAGGCCUACCAAGCCGACGAUCUGUAGCUGGUCUGAGAGGACGACCAGCCACACUGGGACUGAGACACGGCCCAGACUCCUACGGGAGGCAGCAGUGGGGAAUUUUGGACAAUGGGCGCAAGCCUGAUCCAGCAAUGCCGCGUGCGGGAAGAAGGCCUUCGGGUUGUAAACCGCUUUUGUACGGAACGAAAAGGCUCUGGCUAAUACCUGGGGCUGAUGACGGUACCGUAAGAAUAAGCACCGGCUAACUACGUG